rfam:Wolbachia pipientis strain wPpe Wolbachia_wPpe_contig2, whole genome shotgun sequence.
UUUAGUAGGUAUGCAGGCAAAAACUCUGUAACCUGGUCAGAUCAGAAAUGAAGCAGCCACAUCAGAAUAUUUUUGGGUUGCAUGCCUACUCUCAUU